rnacentral:piRNA from 1 species
UAAAAAGAUGACAGAAGGAUGGACAGUG